AUCCAGAUGACGAGUUUUAAACAGGAUGAAACACACGUCCUGAAU
rfam:Schistosoma mattheei strain Denwood, Zambia genome assembly, scaffold: SMTD_scaffold0004252